GAGUUUGAUCCUGGCUCAGGUUAAACGCUGGCGGCGUGCCUAAAACAUGCAAGUCGAACGCGGGGCUUCGGCUCCGAGUGGCGGACGGCUGAGUAACGCGUGGGUGACCUGACCUCGAGUGGGGAAUAACUGCCCGAAAGGGUGGCUAAGACCGCAUGAGCUCACCGGACCGAUCUGGUGAGGAAAGCCCGAGAGGGUGCUGGAGGAGGGGCCCGCGUCCGAUUAGCUGGUUGGUGGGGUAACGGCCUACCAAGGCGACGAUCGGUAGCUGGUCUGAGAGGAUGAUCAGCCAGACUGGGACUGAGAGACGGCCCAGACUCCUACGGGAGGCAGCAGUUAGGAAUUUUGGGCAAUGGGCGAAAGCCUGACCCAGCAACGCCGCGU
rnacentral:rRNA from 1 species